AGAGUUUGAUCAUGGCUCAGGAUGAACGCUGGCGGAGUGCCUAAUACAUGCAAGUCGAGCGGCAGCGCGAGUAGUUUACUACUUGGCGGCGAGCGGCGGACGGCUGAGUAACGCGUGGGAACGUGCCCCAAAGUGAGGAAUAACUGCCCGAAAGGGUAGCUAAUGCCGCAUAUGAUCUUCGGAUUAAAGGAUUUAUCCGCUUUGGGAGCGGCCCGCGUACGAUUAGAUAGUUGGUGAGGUAAUGGCUCACCAAGUCGACGAUCGUUAACUGGUUUGAGAGGAUGAUCAGUCAGACUGGAACUGAGACACGGUCCAGACUCCUACGGGAGGCAGCAGUAAGGAAUCUUCCACAAUGGACGAAAGUCUGAUGGAGCAACUCCGCGUGCAGGAUGAAGGCCUUCGGGUCGUAAACUGCUUUUAUGAGUGAAGAAUAUGACGGUAACUCAUGAAUAAGGGUCGGCUAACUACGUGCUAGCCGCCGCGGUAAUUC
rnacentral:rRNA from 1 species